GACGACGCUGGCGGCGUGCCUAACACAUGCAAGUCGAGCGGAGUCGAUCGACGGAAGCCUUCGGGCGGAAGAUGGUUGACUUAGCGGCGGAUGGGUGAGUAACGCGUGGGCAACCUGCCUCGAAGACCGGGAUAACAGCCCGAAAGGGCUGCUAAUACCGGAUGUGGUCAAGGAUCCGCAUGGAUUUUGAUUAAAGGGGAAACCCGUUUCGAGAUGGGCCCGCGUCCUAUCAGCUAGUUGGUGAGGUAAAAGACUCACCAAGGCGACGACGGGUAGCCGGCCUGAGAGGGUGACCGGCCACACUGGAACUGAGACACGGUCCAGACUCCUACGGGGGGCAGCAGUGGGGAAUCUUCCACAAUGGGCGAAAGCCUGAUGGAGCGACGCCGCGUGAGCGAAGAAGGCCUUCGGGUUGUAAAGCUCUGUCUGGAGGGACGAAGGAAGUGACGGUACCUCCGGAGGAAGCCACGGCUAACUACGUG
rnacentral:rRNA from 1 species